UGACAGUACCUGGUAAAGAAACCCCGGCUAACUCCGUGCCAGCAGCCGCGGUAAUACGGAGGGGGUUAGCGUUGUUCGGAAUUACUGGGCGUAAAGCGCACGUAGGCGGAUCAGAAAGUUGGGGGUGAAAUCCCGGGGCUCAACCCCGGAACUGCCUCCAAAACUCCUGGUCUUGAGUUCGAGAGAGGUGAGUGGAAUUCCGAGUGUAGAGGUGAAAUUCGUAGAUAUUCGGAGGAACACCAGAGGCGAAGGCGAUGCACUGGACCGGUACUGACGCUGAGGUGCGAAAGCGUGGGGAGCGAACAGGAUUAGAUACCCUGGCAGUCCACACCGUAAACGCUGUCUAC
rnacentral:rRNA from 1 species